GGUUGUAUGGUGUAGUGGUUAGCACCGAGGAUUUUGAUUCCUCUGACCCGGGUUCGACUCCCGGUACGACCU
rfam:Ichthyophthirius multifiliis unplaced genomic scaffold scaff_1120509250306, whole genome shotgun sequence.